rnacentral:rRNA from 1 species
GGUGUGGACGCGCUGCAAGGCGUUGAGCUAACGUGUACUAAUGGCCCGUGAGGCUUGACCCUA